rnacentral:rRNA from 1 species
AGUUAAGUGACUAAGCGCACAAGGUGGAUGCCUUGGCAAUCAGAGGCGAAGAAGGACGUGCUAAUCUGCGAAAAGCUUGGAUGAGUCGAUAAGAGGCGUUUAAUCCAAGAUGUCCGAAUGGGAAACCCAGUAGGUGAAGAACCUACUAUCACCCAGUGAAUACAUAGCUGUGUGAGGCAAACCGGGAGAACUGAAACAUCUAAGUACCCCGAGGAAAAGAAAUCAACCGAGAUUUCGUUAGUAGCGGCGAGCGAACGCGAAAGAGCCAGUUAGUGAUAGCAGUAAAGUUAGGGAAUGUUCUGGGAAGGACAAUCGUAGAGGGUGAUAAUCCCGUACCUUAAAACUCCAUUGUGGUACUAGGCUAACAACAAGUAGGGCGGGACACGUGAUAUCCUGUUUGAAGAUGGGGGACCAUCCUCAAGGCUAAAUACUCCUGAUUGACCGAUAGUGAACCAGUACUGUGAAGGAAAGGUGAAAAGAACCCCGGCGAGGAGUGAAAUAGAACCUGAAACCUUGUGCGUACAAGCAGUGGGAGCAAGAGUAAUCUUGUGACUGCGUACCUUUUGUAUAAUGGGUCAGCGACUUAUAUUUUGUAGCAAGGUUAACUGAAUAAGGAGGCCGUAGGGAAACCGAGUCUUAACUGGGCGUGUAGUUGCAAGGUAUAGACCCGAAACCCGGUGAUCUAGCCAUGGGCAGGUUGAAGGUUAGGUAACACUAACUGGAGGACCGAACCGACUAAUGUUGAAAAAUUAGCGGAUGACUUGUGGCUGGGGGUGAAAGGCCAAUCAAACCGGGAGAUAGCUGGUUCUCCCCGAAAUCUAUUUAGGUAGAGCCUUGAGCGGACACCUUCGGGGGUAGAGCACUGUUUCGGCUGAGGGUCCAUCCCGGAUUACCAACCCGAUGCAAACUGCGAAUACCGAAGAGUGAUACUCAGGAGACACACGGUGGGUGCUAACGUCCAUCGUGGAGAGGGAAAGCAACCCAGACCGCCAGCUAAGGUCCCAAAGUCUAUAUUAAGUGGGAAACGAAGUGGGAAGGCUUAGACAGCUAGGAUGUUGGCUUAGAAGCAGCCACCAUUUAAAGAAAGCGUAAUAGCUCACUAGUCGAGUCGGCCUGCGCGGAAGAUGUAACGGGCUCAAAUAUAGCACCGAAGCUGCGGCAUCAGACGAAAGUCUGUUGGGUAGGGGGAGCGUUGGCUGUAAGUCGAUGAAGGUGGAUUGAGGAAGUCUGCUGGAGAUAUCACAAGUGCGAAUGCUGACAUAAGUAACGAUAAAACGAGUGAAAAACUCGUUCGCCGGAAAGACCAAGGGUUCCUGUCCAACGUUAAUCGGGGCAGGGUGAGUCAGCCCCUAAGGCGAGGCUGAAAAGCGUAGUCGAUGGAAACGGGUUAAUAUUCCCGUACUUGUAAUAACUGCGAUGUGGGGACGGAGAAGGUUAGGUUAGCAGACUGUUGGAUGUCUGUUUAAGCCGGUAGGUGGGAAGAUUAGGCAAAUCCGGUCUUCCUUAACACCGAGAAGUGAUGACGAGUCCUCUACGGAAUGAAGUAAUCGAUACCACGCUUCCAGGAAAAGCCACUAAAGCCUGGUUAUUAUAAGCCGUACUAUAAGCCAUUUUAGGUGGUCAGGUAAGAGAAAUACUCCAGGCCUUAGAGCUCGGGUGAAGGAACUAGGCAAAAUAGCACCGUAACUUCGGGAGAAGGUGCGCCGUAGGUGUGGUGCCUUGCGGAUGAAGGUUGAACCGGUCGAAGAUACAAUGGCUGCAGCUGUUUAUUAAAAACACAGCACUCUGCAAACACGAAAGUGGACGUAUAGGGUGUGAUGAUGCCUGCCCGGUGCUGGAAGGUUAAUUGAUGGUGUUAUCGCAAGAGAAGCUCCUGAUCGAAGCCCCAGUAAACGGCAGCCCAUAACUAUAACGGUCCUAAGGUAGCGAAAUUCCUUGUCGGGUAAGUUCCGACCUGCACGGGC